GAUGAACGCUGGCGGCGUGCCUAACACAUGCAAGUCGAGCGGUAUAUAUUGGAACGAAACUUCGGUCUAGAGAAGAUAUAGAGAGCGGCGGACGGGUGAGUAACGCGUAGGCAACCUGCCCCAUACAGAGGGAUAGCCUCGGGAAACCGGGAUUAAGACCUCAUAACACCAACAGCCUUCAUGGGCCAUUGGUCAAAGAUUUAUCGGUAUGGGAUGGGCCUGCGUCUGAUUAGCUGGUUGGUAGGGUAACGGCCUACCAAGGCGACGAUCAGUAGCCGACCUGAGAGGGUAAUCGGCCACAUUGGAACUGAGACACGGUCCAAACUCCUACGGGAGGCAG
rnacentral:rRNA from 1 species